UGUGAGGACGCCAUUGGAAGAGUGUGCUUAUUGCCCAAGGAAAUUUUUCAUGAAGUUGUUAGGUAUGGUCUAUGGUUACUAGGAUGUUCACAUGAUUCAGGCAGAUGUCACGCUACGAUGUUCUUCGGUCUUUUACUUCAAUUUCAGACCAUCCUUGAGGAGUUUGACACUCAAGUUGGACUUAGAAUCUUAUAUAACGUUAUGAGUAUGUUACAACUCUUAUCAAACGAAGGUGAUACAGUCAACGUGUAUGUCAUGUGUGCGUCGAUCUGAAACGUUACUUACAGUCCCCUCCCUUUUUUUUAAGGUGCCCAAACUCCAACUAGGUGAAAUAGGACUGCCAAGUGAUAAGGUUCCUGCAGAAUGGUGGAAUAAAACUAUAGAGCACCAAUUGGACCAGGGAGGCAAAACUUGCAGUGACUUCCAAGAUAGAGGACCAACCAUUUUAUAAUAUAAGUGGUUCCUGCAGAAUGGUGGAAUAAAACUAUAGAGCACCAAUUGGACCAGGGAGGCAAAACUUGCAGUGACUUCCAAGAUAGAGGACCAACCAUUUUAUAAUAUAAGUGGUAAGUUUUAUUUUCCC